rnacentral:rRNA from 1 species
GAUGAACGCUGGCGGCGUGCUUAACACAUGCAAGUCGAACGAAGCACCUUGAUUUGCUUCUUCGGAUGAAGAUCUUGGUGACUGAGUGUCGGACGGGUGAGUAACGCGUGGGUAACCUGCCUCAUAUAGGGGGAUAACAGUUAGAAAUGACUGCUAAUACCGCAUACGACCACCGCACCGCAUGGUGCAGGGGUAAAAACUCCGGUGGUAUGAGAUGGACCCGCGUCUGAUUAGGUAGAUGGUGGGGUAACGGCCUACCAAGCCGACGAUCAGUAGCCGAGCUGGGAGGGUAGCAGGCGACAUUGGGAAUGAGACACAGCCCAAACUCCUACGGGAGGAAGCAGUGGAGAAUAUUGCACAAUAGGGGAAACCCUGAUGGAGCCACGCCGCGUGAACGAUGAAGUAUUUCGGUAUGUAAAGCUCUAUCAGCAGGGAAGAAAAUGACGGUACCUGACUAAGAAGCACCGGCUAAAUACGUG